CAAAGGAGCAUUAGUGGAAAAAAACAGGGUAGCCCUGAGACAAUAGGAUGACGUCACGACCAAUGAGAACGGCCAGCAGGGGGCGCAAGGAUUCACUUCUCUCUUGGACACUGACGGGUCUCGACACGCAAAUUCUGCUCCUGGCGUUGGCCGUCAGUGGAAGAGCGUAGCUUCGGUGGGGUUCUGUCUGCCUCUGAUGGGGUGCGGAUGUGUGGUUCGUCACUGGUGAAUGGUGUUCGACGAUGCAGGUGGAUUUUGUGACGAGCGGAUUUACAAUGAGGGAAUGCUGUGAAUGGGAAAAAUGAUGAGCUGUCCUAACCUGCCCAGACAUGCCAUGAUGACGUCACAGCUGACGUCACAGGAUGUGCGGAACUGGUGCUGCGAUGCUUUGCAACCUGCCUCAGUGCUCCGUCGCCCAGCGGCCUUUCCGGGCCGCUUUCUUCAAGACGAUGUCGUUGAUCUUCAACUAAACUCCUUCUCUCCA